rnacentral:SRP_RNA from 1 species
GGUCGGGUCUUGCACGGAAAGUUUUUGUGAACCCCGUCAGGUCCGGAAGGAAGCAGCGGCAGCAGAAUACUUUUGCGUUGCAAAUCAGUCCGACUCAA